GUUGGUUUAGCUUAGUGGUAGAGUGUAUGAUGUCCUGGGUUCAAACCCCAGCUUCUACC
rnacentral:tRNA from 1 species